rnacentral:rRNA from 1 species
AUUGAACGCUGGCGGCAGGCCUAACACAUGCAAGUCGAACGAGUGGCGGACGGGUGAGUAAUGUCUGGGAAACUGCCUGAUGGAGGGGGAUAACUACUGGAAACGGUAGCUAAUACCGCAUACCAUCGGAUGUGCCCAGAUGGGAUUAGCUAGUAGGGGGGGUAAAGGCUCACCUAGGCGACGAUCCCUAGCUGGUCUUAGAGGGUGACCAGCCACACUGGAACUGAGACACGGUCCAAACUCCUACGGGAGGCAGGAGUGGGGAAUAUUGCACAAUGGGCGCAAGCCUGAUACAGCCAUGCCGCGUGUAUGAAGAAGGCCUUCGGGUUGUAAAGUACUUUCAGCGGGGAGACGUUACCCGCAGAAGAAGCACCGGCUAACUCCGUGCCAGCAGCCGCGGUAAUUC